UUUUUAUAAUUUUUACCUUAUUUAAAAAUGCUUUUAAGGUAUGUCAGAGGCACCGCUCUCGGUGCCUCCCGCUAUCUGUGAGAAAGGACCGGAAGCGGGGGGCGGGGCCAAGCAUUGGGCGGUGAAAGCCCAUUAAAAAAAGAAGCAAAAGUGGCACUUACUGGAAGUGCCGCUUUGACAGGGGCGUGCUUUCAGCCCAUAUGAGAGCACGCCCCUGUCACUAAUACACUGCUCCCGAGUCCCUGCCUACAAGCUCCAGCAGCCAGCUCACCCCCUCCCCUCUACUUCUCUACCGGUGUCCGCUCCACCCCUCUCCCCACGCAGGUGCGCACCUCCCCGGCUGAUGACGCUGACCUCACCGGCCCUGCUGCCGGCUCACCUCUCCGCUGCCGCCGGUCCCCGCAAGUACUGACGAAAUCCUGCAUUUGCCCCUGUAAUCUGCCCGUGUGACUGCGUGUGGUGACCAGGAGACAGCCGAAGUCAUGUCCCGGGACCCUGAAGCCAUGGCCACGAUCACUGAGAACACCUACAAGACUACGUCCUCACUUAAAUAAGCAUUAAGCAGUGGGACAGAAUUGCGGAGGUUAUGCGUCAAUCCCACCGUCUGGUCCUCUUGUGAAUACAGGAUGAAAAACACAUUUGCUCAACAGCCAGGCUAUGAAUCCGUACAACCUUGGUAUGGGUAGCAUAUCCGACCAGGAUAAUCCAAUUAUCCCAUUCAACCUGAUGGCGAUUGAGAGGUGCUGCAAAGAGGAAUGAGCAAAAAUGCCCAAAGAUAGGUGCGCCAAGCUUGUGGUAUCAUAUUCAAAAAGACUUGAGACUGUAAUUGCUGCCAAAGGUGCAUCAACAAAGUAUUGAGUAAAGGCUGUGAAUACUUCUGUACAUGUGAUCUUAUUUUUUUUUUUUUUUAAUAAAUUAGCAAAAAUCACAAAAAUAAAAAAUGUCACAUUGUUA